GAGUGGCGCAAGGGUGCGUAACACGUGGGUAAUCUGCCAUAAAGUUUGGGAUAACUCGCUGAAAGGCGAGCUAAUACCGGAUGUGAUAAUCGGGAGGCAUCUUUUGAUUAUCAAAGCUGGGGACCGCAAGGCCUGGCGCUUUUUGAUGAACCCGCGGCCUAUCAGCUAGUUGGUGAGGUAACGGCCCACCAAGGCUAAGACGGGUAGCUGGUCUGAGAGGACGACCAGCCACACUGGAACUGAGACACGGUCCAGACACCUACGGGUGGCAGCAGUCGAGAAUUUUUCACAAUGGGCGCAAGCCUGAUGGAGCGACGCCGCGUGGGGGAUGAAUGGCUUCGGCCCGUAAACCCCUGUCAUUUGUGAACAAACCUUGUAAUUUAAAAGAUGACAAGCUGAUUGUAGCGAAAGAGGAAGGGACGGCUAACUCUGUGCCAGCAGCCGCGGUAAUACAGAGGUCCCAAGCGUUGUUCGGAUUCACUGGGCGUAAAGGGUGCGUAGGUGGCGAGGUAAGUCUGAUGUGAAAUCUCCAAGCUUAACUUGGAAAUGGCAUUGGAAACUACUUUGCUCGAGGGUUGGAGGGGGGACUGGAAUACUUGGUGUAGCAGUGAAAUGCGUAGAUAUCAAGUGGAACACCAGUGGCGAAGGCGAGUCCCUGGACAACUCC
rnacentral:rRNA from 1 species